rnacentral:rRNA from 1 species
GCCUAAUACAUGCAAGUCGAGCGAACAGAGAAGGAGCUUGCUCCUUUGACGUUAGCGGCGGACGGGUGAGUAACACGUGGGCAACCUACCUUAUAGUUUGGGAUAACUCCGGGAAACCGGGGCUAAUACCGAAUAAUCUGUUUCACCUCAUGGUGAAACACUAAAAGACGGUUUCGGCUGUCGCUAUAGGAUGGGCCCGCGGCGCAUUAGCUAGUUGGUGAGGUAACGGCUCACCAAGGCGACGAUGCGUAGCCGACCUGAGAGGGUGAUCGGCCACACUGGGACUGAGACACGGCCCAGACUCCUACGGGAGGCAGCAGUAGGGAAUCUUCCACAAUGGGCGAAAGCCUGAUGGAGCAACGCCGCGUGAGUGAAGAAGGAUUUCGGUUCGUAAAACUCUGUUGUAAGGGAAGAACAAGUACAGUAGUAACUGGCUGUACCUUGACGGUACCUUAUUAGAAAGCCACGGCUAACUACGUGCCAGCAGCCGCGGUAAUACGUAGGUGGCAAGCGUUGUCCGGAAUUAUUGGGCGUAAAGCGCGCGCAGGUGGUUUCUUAAGUCUGAUGUGAAAGCCCACGGCUCAACCGUGGAGGGUCAUUGGAAACUGGGAGACUUGAGUGCAGAAGAGGAUAGUGGAAUUCCCAAGUGUAGCGGUGAAAUGCGUAGAGAUUUGGAGGAACACCAGUGGCGAAGGCGACUAUCUGGUCUGUAACUGACACUGAGGCGCGAAAGCGUGCGGGAGCAAACAGGAUUAGAUACCCUGGUAGUCCACGCCGUAAACGAUGAGUGCUAAGUGUUAGGGGGUCUCCGCCCCUUAGUGCUGCAGCUAACGCAUUAAGCACUCCGCCUGGGGAGUACGGUCGCAAGACUGAAACUCAAAGGAAUUGACGGGGGCCCGCACAAGCGGUGGAGCAUGUGGUUUAAUUCGAAGCAACGCGAAGAACCUUACCAGGUCUUGACAUCCCGUUGACCACUGUAGAGAUAUAGUUUCCCCUUCGGGGGCAACGGUGACAGGUGGUGCAUGGUUGUCGUCAGCUCGUGUCGUGAGAUGUUGGGUUAAGUCCCGCAACGAGCGCAACCCUUGUCCUUAGUUACCAGCGGUUUGGCCGGGAACUCUAAGGAUACUGCCAGUGACAAACCGGAGGAAGGUGGGGAUGACGUCAAGUCCUCAUGGCCCUUAUGGGUAGGGCUUCACACGUCAUACAAUGGUCGGGACAGAGGGUCGCCAACCCGCGAGGGGGAGCCAAUCCCAGAAA